AUUGAACGCUGGCGGCAGGCUUAACACAUGCAAGUCGAGCGGAGAUGAGGUGCUUGCACCUUAUCUUAGCGGCGGACGGGUGAGUAAUGCUUAGGAAUCUGCCUAUUAGUGGGGGACAACAUUCCGAAAGGAAUGCUAAUACCGCAUACGUCCUCCGGGAGAAAGCAGGGGAUCUUCGGACCUUGCGCUAAUAGAUGAGCCUAAGUCGGAUUAGCUAGUUGGUGGGGUAAAUGCCUACCAAGGCGACGAUCUGUAGCGGGUCUGAGAGGCUGAUCCGCCACACUGGUACUGCGACACGGCACAGGCUCCUACGGGAGGAAGCAGUGGGGGAUAGUGGUCAAUGGGGGGAACCCUGAUCCAGCCAGGCCGCGUGUGUGAAGAAGGCCUUAUGGUUGUAAAGCACUUUAAGCGAGGAGGAGGCUACUGAGACUAAUACUCUUGGAUAGUGGACGUUACUCGCAGAAUAAGCACCGGCUAACUCUGUGCCAGCAGCCGCCGUAACAC
rnacentral:rRNA from 1 species